GGAGGCAGCAGUGGGGAAUAUUGCACAAUGGGCGGAAGCCUGAUGCAGCAACGCCGCGUGCGGGAUGACGGCCUUCGGGUUGUAAACCGCUUUCGCCUGUGACGAAGCGUGAGUGACGGUAAUGGGUAAAGAAGCACCGGCUAACUACGUGCCAGCAGCCGCGGUGAUACGUAGGGUGCGAGCGUUGCCCGGAUUUAUUGGGCGUAAAGGGCUCGUAGGUGGUUGAUCGCGUCGGAAGUGUAAUCUUGGGGCUUAACCCUGAGCGUGCUUUCGAUACGGGUUGACUUGAGGAAGGUAGGGGAGAGUGGAAUUCCUGGUGGAGCGGUGGAAUGCGCAGAUAUCAGGAGGAACACCAGUGGCGAAGGCGGUUCUCUGGGCCUUUCCUGACGCUGAGGAGCGAAAGCGUGGGGAGCGAACAGGCUUAGAUACCCUGGUAGUCCACGCUGUUAACGGUGGGUACUAGGUGUGGGGUCCAUUCCACGGGUUCCGUGCCGUAGCUAACGCUUUAAGUACCCCGCCUGGGGAGUACGGCCGCAAGGCUAAAACUCAA
rnacentral:rRNA from 1 species